ensembl:snoRNA
GGGGUGUGCUCAGAGCAGGGGGCCUAAAGAAUGGCUCCUCUGUUUAUAACACACCCAACAGGAAUCUGGGGUCAUUGUGAUGAGAGGCACGAAGCUUGUGGCCUCCCUACAAACAAAUGCCUACAUGU